UCUCUCUCUCUCUCUCUCUCUCUCUCUCUCUCUCUCUCUCUCUCUCUCUCUCUCUCUCUCUUUAGUCUCUUAUCGUCGAAGAUCGUCGACAUGGAUCGUGAACGGAGCUCCGGUCUUCGAUUGUAAAUACAUGCACUCCUCAACUGAUACCUCCUCUCCGCUGUGCUCAACCGCCGCAUCUCUCUCUCCCUCUCCAUCUCCGGCUUGGUCCUUCUUCUUCAUCGCCGUCCAAGUCUUCGAUCGUCUUCUUCUUUCAAGGUAAUCAGAGAGGAUCUAAUAGUUUCUGUUCUNNN
rnacentral:lncRNA from 1 species